CCUACGGGAGGCAGCAGUGGGGAAUAUUGGGCAAUGGGCGCAAGCCUGACCCAGCAACGCCGCGUGAAGGAAGAAGGCUUUCGGGUUGUAAACUUCUUUUAAGAGGGAAGAGCAGAAGACGGUACCUCUUGAAUAAGCCACGGCUAACUACGUGCCAGCAGCCGCGGUAAUACGUAGGUGGCAAGCGUUGUCCGGAUUUACUGGGGGUAAAGGGCGUGCAGCCGGUAAGACAAGUCAGAUGGGAAAUCCCGCGGCUCAACCGCGGAACUGCAUUUGAAACUGUUUUUCUUGAGUACCGGAGAGGACAGCGGAAUUCCUUGUGUAGCGGUGAAAUGCGUAGAUAUAAGGAAGAACACCAGUGGCGAAGGCGGAUGACUGGACGGCAACUGACGGUGAGGCGCGAAAGCGUGGGGAGCAAACAGGAUUAGAUACCCUUGUAGUC
rnacentral:rRNA from 1 species